rnacentral:pre_miRNA from 1 species
CAAGUACUCACUCUGUCUGGAAUUACUUGUCAUCAAAAGGGAUGUGUCUAAACUAAAAUACAUCUAGAUACAUCCAAUUCAAUGACAAGUAUUUCUGGACGGAGGGAGUACAAG